CCUACGGGAGGCAGCAGUAAGGAAUAUUGCGCAAUGGGCGAAAGCCUGACGCAGCGACGCCGCGUGGGGAUGAAGGUCUUCGGAUUGUAAACCCCUUUCGGGAGGGAAGAUGGAGCGAGCAAUCGUUCGGACGGUACCUCCGAAGCAGCCACGGCCAACUUCGUGCCAGCAGCCGCGGUAAUACGAAGGUGGCAAGCGUUGUUCGGAUUCACUGGCGUACAGGGUGUGUAGGCGGUUUGGUAAGCCUUCUGUUAAAGCUUCGGGCCCAACCCGGAAAGCGCAGAGGUACUGCCAGGCUAGAGGAUGGGAGAGGAGCGCGGAAUUCCCGGUGUAGCGGUGAAAUGCGUAGAGAUCGGGGGAAGGCCGGUGGCGAAGGCGGCGCUCUGGAACAUACCUGACGCUGAGACACGAAAGCGUGGGGAGCAAACAGAUUAGAUACCCUGGUAGUCCACGCCCUAAACUAUGGAUACUAAGUGUCGGCGGGUUACCGCCGGUGCCGCACUAACGCAUUAAGUAUCCCGCCUGGGAAGUACGGCCGCAAGGUUGAAACUCAAAUGAAUUGACGGA
rnacentral:rRNA from 1 species